UACGGGGGGGCAAGGCGUUGUUCGAAAUUACUGGGCGUAAAGGGCUCGUAGGCGGCCAACUAAGUCAGACGUGAAAUCCCCAGGCUCAACCUGGGAACUGCGUCUGAUACUGGAUGGCUUGAAUUCGGGAGAGGGAUGCAGAAUUCCAGGUGUAGCGGUGAAAUGCGUAGAUAUCUGGAGGAAUACCGGUGGCGAAGGCGGCAUCCUGGACCGACAUUGACGCUGAUGAGCGAAAGCUAGGGGAGCAAACGGG
rnacentral:rRNA from 1 species